rnacentral:rRNA from 1 species
GGGUUGUAAACCUCUUUUCACAGGGAAGAAUAAUGACGGUACCUGUGGAAUAAGCUUCGGCUAACUACGUGCCAGCAGCCGCGGUAAUACGUAGGAAGCAAGCGUUAUCCGGAUUUAUUGGGCGUAAAGUGAGCGUAGUGGUCUUUCAAGUUGGAUGUGAAAUUUCCCGGCUUAACCGGGACGAGUCAUUCAAUACGUUGGACUAGAGUACAGCAGGAGAAAACGGAAUUCCCGGUGUAGUGGUAAAAUGCGUAGAUAUCGGGAGGAACACCAGAGGCGAAGGCGGUUUUCUGGUUGUCACUGACACUGAGGCUCGAAAGCGUGGGGAGCGAACAGAAUUAGAUACUCUGGUAGUCCACGCCUUAAACUAUGGACACUAGGUAUAGGGAGUAUCGACCCUCUCUGUGCCGAAGCUAAC